UACAGAGGACCCAAGCGUUGUUCGGAUUCACUGGGCGUAAAGGGUGCGUAGGCGGUCGGGUAAGUCUGGCGUGAAAUCUCCAAGCCUAACUUGGAAACUGCGUUGGAUACUAUCCGGCUCGAGGAAUGGAGGGGAGACUGGAAUACUUGGUGUAGCAGUGAAAUGCGUAGAUAUCAAGUGGAACACCAGUGGCGAAGGCGAGUCUCUGGACAUUUCCUGACGCUGAGGCACGAAAGCCAGGGGAGCAAACGGG
rnacentral:rRNA from 1 species